GAUGAAGAACGUAGUGAAAUGCGAUACUUGGUGUGAAUUGCAGAAUCCCGUGAACCAUCGAGUCUUUGAACGCAAGUUGCGCCCGAAGCCAUUAGGCCGAGGGCACGCCUGCCUGGGCGUCACACGUCGUUGCCCCCCCAUCUACUCCUUCGGGAUUGCGGGGGGCGGAUGAUGGCCUCCCGUGCGCCUCGCCGCGCGGUUGGCAUAUAUGCCAAGUCCUCGGCGACGCACGCCACGACAAUCGGUGGUUGCGAAACCUCGGUUGCCCGUCGUGUGCGGUCGUCGCGCAUCGAGGGCUCGAAAAAAUUGCCGGGUUCCGGCUCGGCUUUCAACGCGACCCCAGGUCAGGCGGGGUUACCCGCUGAAUUUAAGCAUAUCAAUAAGCGGAGGA
rnacentral:misc_RNA from 1 species